AUUGAACGCUGGCGGCAGGCCUAACACAUGCAAGUCGAGCGGAUGAAGGGAGCUUGCUCCUGGAUUCAGCGGCGGACGGGUGAGUAAUGCCUAGGAAUCUGCCUGGUAGUGGGGGAUAACGUCCGGAAACGGGCGCUAAUACCGCAUACGUCCUGAGGGUGAAAGGGGGGGAUCUUCGGACCUCACGCUAUCAGAUGAGCCUAGGUCGGAUUAGCUAGUUGGUGGGGUAAAGGCCUACCAAGGCGACGAUCCGUAACUGGUCUGAGAGGAUGAUCAGUCACACUGGAACUGAGACACGGUCCAGACUCCUACGGGAGGCAGCAGUGGGGAAUAUUGGACAAUGGGCGAAAGCCUGAUCCAGCCAUGCCGCGUGUGUGAAGAAGGUCUUCGGAUUGUAAAGCACUUUAAGUUGGGAGGAAGGGCAGUAAGUUAAUACCUUGCUGUUUUGACGUUACCAACAGAAUAAGCACCGGCUAACUUCGUG
rnacentral:rRNA from 1 species